GGCGGUGUUGGCCUGAAACGUACCACAAAAUGCGUAACCCGCUGCGGUCACCUCCACACGUCGUGCUGAGGCCGCUUUCAGGAAACACAGGCGGAGAGAUAAAGGGUGGGCAGCCCGCAACCGCCACAAAACGCCCCCCCAACAGCAAACCUCGCAGGGUUCCGUGUGCAGAGAACAGCUGUUUCCUGAGUUCCCAGCAUACAAAAGCACUCACUGCGCACAGUUCUCACCAUGGAAAAGAAUGGGAAAAAUGACCUACUGAAUGUCAGUGGCUUUGUUACAACAGUGACAAGAAACAAGAGGCUACAUGGAU